rnacentral:rRNA from 1 species
UACGUAGGGGGCAAGCGUUGUCCGGAAUUACUGGGCGUAAAGCGAACGUAGGCGGUGUUCCAUGUCAGAGGUGAAAGCCUGGGGCUCAACUCCAGAAUUGCCUUUGAAACGGGGACGCUUGAGUCCGAGAGAGGGUGGCGGAAUUCCUAGUGUAGAGGUGAAAUUCGUAGAUAUUAGGAAGAACACCAGUGGCGAAGGCGGCCACCUGGCUCGGUACUGACGCUCAGGUUCGAAAGCGUGGGGAGCAAACAGG